rnacentral:rRNA from 1 species
CCCUUAGAUGUUCUGGGCCGCACGCGCGCUACACUGUUCGACGCAGCGAGUCUUAACCUUGACCGAAAGGUUUGGGUAAUCUUCAGCAAAGUCGAACGUGAUGGGGAUCGAUCAUUGCAAUUAUUGAUCGUGAACGAGGAAUUCCUAGUAAGUGCAAGUCAUCAGCUUGCGCUGAUUACGUCCCUGCCCUUUGUACACACCGCCCGUCGCUACUACCGAUUGAAUGGUUUAGUGAGAUCUCUGGAUUGACGCUGGCUAGGGGGCGACCCUUGGCCAGGCUGUCGAGAAACUGCUCAAACCUGAUCAUUUAGAGGAAGUAAAAGUCGUAACA